AAUAAGAUGCCUGAUAAAAGGGUUACUUUGAUAGAGUAAAUCAUGUAAGAUUAAACUUACUCUUAUUA
rnacentral:tRNA from 1 species